AAAAAAAUACCUUCUUUUAGUAAUGAAUAAAAUCUGAAAGAUCAAAGAAAAAUUCAACAAAGCCCUAAAGAGAUAUAUAUACACAAGACCACAAAAUUUUCCUUGUGCUCAAAACCAAUUCAUAUUAGAAAACAAUCUAGUUUAAUUUCUAGCAAAAACCCAUUUCAGGAUCUUGAUUUUUUUUUGGCAACAAAUUAUGCCAGUGCCUGGUUCAGUUGUGCAAGGGUUCCCACAGACCAGUAUGCUUUUUGGUCAUGGAGGGAGAAAAAGAAUCAUUGAAGGCUCUGAAGAAGAUCUAAGAAGAAAGGAGAGGAAAAAGAUUAGAAAUAGAGCAUCUGCUGCUAGAUCUCGAGAGAAGAAAAUGGAGAGGACAAAUUUUCUGGAACAUAAAGUGAAAGAAUUGACAGAAGAGGAUACCCAGAUGAAGCGAUUAGUCAAAUUACUGAUAAUUCAUCACUUAAUUUCUUUAUGGAAUAAAAAAAAUAGGUACUAAAAAAUAGAAACUAUCAUAUCUCUUGCAAAAUUUCCAAAUUUUUUCAUAUGUAGCAUCAUCAACUUUUCCGCUUUUCCCUAAUGAAUUGAAGGACUAAAGAUAAGAAAUAAAUAAUAUAUAUGGAUGUACUAUGAAACAUAUUAUAUAUUCCAGUAGAUGUCUAAUUUACAUAAUUAAUUUAAUUUUCAGGAUAAAUAAAAGGAUAUAUAUGUUUGUGAAGUUUUUGAGAGGAUUUAUUCAUAUAUACUCUUGAAUAUUUGCAGAUAUGGAGGAGGAUCAAGGCUGAAUUCUGAAGAGACUGCAGAUAAGCAUAUGAGGGUUUGAGCACCAUGGUGAUCAUGUUCUUGAUGCCUAUACAUAAUUCACCAAAUGGGAUGCUAUUUUGAAAGUUUUAAUGAAUCAAAUAAAGUUCAGAUCCAGCUACAGGGCAAAAUGUAUUUGCUUGAAUGAUUUCUUUAAUUCCUUUCUAAUAUAUACAUGAUAUAAUAUAGUAAAUUAAUUCAAUCCUGUGGAUAAGCAAUAUAGCAAAAAGAAAAGGCUAUUGGGUUAUCACAUGCUUCCACUUUUAUUUAUCUGCAACCAUGAGCUCUGAAAUUCAAGAUUUCAUGCAUGAUUUAAAGACUGAAAACAUGAGGCUAGAGAUCUUGUUCUUCAUAAUACUGUAUCUCAAACAAGAAAGAUGAAAAUUGAAACUAAUUAUUAAAUUCAACACCUACUUUCUAUCCUGAGUCUCUGAGAGCUGGCUCUACCUCUACGUCCCUGAGCCAUAAGUGCUUCACGAGCUGAUGCAAUUCCAUUAGCAGCCAACAACUUAUCAAAGGAAGAAUAAUCAAUCCAAUCCAUAAGAAAAUUCUCCUGAUUCCAUGCAUCUGGUAUCAUAACCUUUCCAGCCACCUCUUCUCGAUGCCUCUUCAAUCUUUCUCGCCCGCCAUCCUUCUCCUUGUCGUUGGUAUGAAUAACAUGUUGUCUAGGACUAGGAGAUGAAAAUGAGCAAGGUGGAGACAAAGUUUGAGCUUGCAAUUCAUCAGGUUCAUUCUUGGAUAACAACUCUUGUAACCUGAGUGAAUUCUCAUGAUGAGGCCUACAACCCACGUUUAUUUUCGCGGGAGAUGCAAGAAUCCGGCAGCUGGAUUUGGUUUUGCUUGUGCAGGUGGUGGAUUCAUCAUUGUUAGAUGAGAGAUGGGUUUUGUCCAUGUUUGAAUGAGAACGAAGAAAGGUAGAAAAAGGGUUUUUGAAAGAAUUAUUGUGUGGG
rnacentral:misc_RNA from 1 species